rnacentral:lncRNA from 1 species
AGACAGCGAGAGAGCGAGGGGAAUUGGUACAUGUGAUUGUGGAGGCUGACAAGUCCAAAAUCUGUAGGAUAGGGUAGCAGAGACCCAGGGAAGAAUUGAUCUUGCAGCUGGAGUCCCAAGUCUGCUGACAGAAUUCCCUCUUCUUCAGGGGAGGUCAGUCUUUUUUCUGUUAAUGCCUUCAACUGAUUGGACGAGGUCCUCCCAUAUUAUGGAGGGUAAACUGCUUUACUCAAAGUCUACCGGAAUCUCAUCAAGAAAUACCUUCACAGAAAUAUCUAGAAUAAUGUUUGACCAGAUAUCUGGAGCAUAAUCUAGCCAAGAAGGCACAUAAGAUUAACCGUCACACAAACAUAAAGCAUUCUUGCCCAAAAAGUUGAACCUGAAUUUAAUUAGUCCUCCAGAGGUAACUUUCUUUUACAUGAAAUACAGAAAAAAUAGGAAGAAGUUAAAUGAAAAAACAAGGAGCAGAAGUGAUUAGGCUUCUUCUACGUGUCAGCAGCAUUUUAAAAAUGAAGAAAAAGGAGGUGGACUUCUCUAGAUCAAAAGAGAUUUAAGAGACAUAAUAACCAAAUGUGAUAUAUUGAAUUCAUUCAGCUCUUAUUCAAACAAAUCAAUUAUAAAAACAAGUUUUAAAACUAUUGGGGGACAUUUGUUUAUGGAGUAGAAAUUAGGUGAUAUUGAUAAUUGAAAUUGUUAGUUUCAAUUAAUAUGAUUAUUGCAUUUUUAAUUAUGUAUGCGAAUGUCUGGUUUUUUUAAAGAAAUGUACCCUAAAAUUUGUAGGGGUAUAAUGACAAAAUAUCUGGAAUUUGCUUUAAAAUACUUCAGCAAGGGAAAAAAAAAAAGAAGGGAUAAGCUAAGCAAAUAUAGGAAAAUCUUGAUAAUUUUUGAACCUAGUGUGGGAAAUGGGAGCUUACUAUACCUUUCUUUCUUUUGGUUUUAAAAUCUUUUAAAUAAAACUUUAAAAUACCAAAAAGAAUACAUUCCAAAAGAAGAAUGAUAAAGGAGCACUUACUCUUCCAGAUAUCAAAAUGUACUACACAGCUAAUAAUUAAAACAAUGUGGUUUUGCCUUAAAGACAGAUCUGUAGCCUCCAGAAAGAGAUAUAUUUGUGUAUAAAAAUGCAGUGUCACUUUGAAUCAGUAAAACAAAGAAUGUGUUAUACCAUAGGUGGGGUUGGAACAAUUGGAUAUCUAUUUAGAAAAUAAAUUCUAAGCAGUUAAGAACUAAGAAACAAAGUCAAAACUCUAAAAUAUUAAGGGAAAUCAUUGCCCUAUUCAAACCUACUCAAAUAUUUAAACUCCUAAACAAUUAAAAAUACCUUAAAUAUAAAGCUUUAGCAUAAGAAUUGGAGAAAACUUUGCCAUAAAAGGCAAAGGAUUAACAAUUAAGAUACACAUGGAGCCUCAUUCAGAAAUAAAAACAAGUAAAUUAAUCAAAGGAAAAAUUUGCAAAGGUCUGGACAGUUUACAGAAGAACUAAAAAUAUGUGAAUACAAAUGGAAGAUGAAUACGCAAUUGAAAAAAAAUGGCCAACCUCAUCUGUAAUCUACAAAGUGCAAAUUAAUCUUUCACCUAGCAGACAGUCAAAAAUUAAAAGCCCAGUAUUGGAUACAGUACUGAUGAGGGUACAGGGAAAUAUGCAGCCUCACAAACUGUUGGUUGGAAGGUAAAUUGGUAAAGCUCUUUUGUUAGGCAACUUGAUAGUACUUUUCAAAAAUUGUAAAACAAAAAGUCAUUGACCAAGCAAUUCAUUUUUACUCUUUAGAAAUACUUUCACAUGUAGAAAUACUUCUUAUAAGGAUAUUAGCAACAAAUUAGAAAUCCGCUAUGGUAAGUACCCAUUGGUAACCAAAUUUUGAUAUGUCAUUGCCAUUAAAUACUAUAUAAUAGAAGGAAGGCUGAAGGAAAUCUGUAGUGAUUGACAUGGCAAUAUUCAUGGCAUUAAGUGUAAAAAAGUAAGCAGACUGUAUUCGGUGGAUCGCACCUUGUCAAAGGCUAUACUUAACCACGCGAAUCUGUUUUUGCACUUUAGCAUCUAACAGGAAAAGGCAUUCUUUACUUCAUCCCCAACACAGUUUCUUUUACUUCAUGAGGUUAGUGCAGGCUGAACAUUGUGAUGUAAUUUUAAAUAGGAUCCUGGAUGCUAUUGAUUUUUGCCCUUAAUUUUAGGGAAAAGAGACCACGAUUAAGUCAGUUGUCAAGACUCACAAACCAGCAAGCAGCUCUGUCACACAUUGCAUGGAGCUGUGUCCAGGAGGCACUUACAUUAUCAAAUGGCUUUAAAUGCAAGCAGAUGAAGGUGUAGGAUGACGUUCUAUAGAGGAAGGAAGGCCAGCCCUUUCCCAAUUUCGAGAGUUUUAGAGUUUCAUUAUUAGAGAGCUAAAAAGGAAUUGGAAAAGUUAGGUUUUUAUGUACUAUUUAAACUUAUAUGACAAACUGGAAAGCAGAAAUUAAGUUAGAAGGCCAAUCUGUAUCUACCGUCUAGGAUUUUUCCUUAAGAAGUCAUUUUUAAUAUAUCUUUUCUCUCUUGUCAAGCUUGAUAAAGCUUGCUUUGUGAAAUUUCAAAACUGUAAAAAAGAAAAAGCUUUCCUUAUAAAUAAUACUGUUAUACUUGUUACUUUGCUCUCUUCAUUAAAAAAUGACAUCCUGAAGAACCAUCCAUAGUUUGCUUAAUUUUAGUAAUUUAAAAAGUUGUAUAUCAUAUGUGAUUAUCCAGAUAAUAGUGAUUAUAAACAUUUGUUUAUGUUUCAAAUGUCAUUUUUCAGUUUUUCCAAAACUUAAUUUCAAAUACCCAACUCUUUGAAAUGGGGAGACAACAGGUUAGUGCUGUAAAUAUCUAUGCAUUGACAGAUUCCAUGUGAAUACUGAUAACAGUGUUUGGGAAAAUUUGAAAGAUAAGAUGUAAUCAGAAAAACACACUUCAGUAAAGUUUAUUUGAACAUCUCUUGUUUUCUUGUGAAUUUUGACCUCAAGUUACUUUAGAAAUGCAUAGUGCAUCUUCAGAUACUGCUCUACAAGUUUGAAUAGCAUUUAUUCUCAGGUGCUCUGUCUUCUCUGGCAUAUAAAAUUACAGGGUUCUUAUAUAAUAUCAAAAAAGCAGAAAGUCGUGGGAGUUAUACAAUUUCAUUAUGUCAAACAGGAAUACAUUAAAGCUUACUGUUUGUUAAAGUUAAAAAUACAUUUGCUGAAAUUGCUGGAGAAAUUCAAGCACAAUCAUGUCAAAAAAAAAAUGAAAAGGAACUAAAGUGUGAUCUUCUAAAAUUUUCUUAGUCCAAUUCAUGAAACGACAUUUUAUAUUACAACAUUAUUGCCUUUCCCAAAAAGUGAUUUUGCACAUAGAUUUUAAUAAAAUAGAUGUUUGCAAUGGGUUAACAUACUGCUAAGCAGUGACUGUCCUGAAACUACUUUGUGGAAUUUAAAAUGUUAGUAAAAGCAAAUCUGCAUACAUGAUGCAUACCACACUGAUUUUAGAAAAUGGUAAUUCGGAUGAAAUUUUAGCUUUUAAUUAAAUGUUUAAUCUUGUGUACAUGUAUUCAUUUAUGCUAUAGAAACGUUAGGAGUUGUGCUAAUGCUGUUAUUUGCUCUCUGAGUAUAAGAGGUCAUCUGCCUUGGAACAUGGUAUAAGAAGAAUAGUUUUCAAAAGAUAAAACUGUAUAUAUUAGUUCAUGACACCAUGAAUUUAAAUUACAUUGUCAGAGUAGGAAUGGAUUUAAAUAUAGGUACAUUUUUGUUGUU